rnacentral:rRNA from 1 species
AUUGAACGCUGGCGGCAUGCUUUACACAUGCAAGUCGAACGGUAACAGGGAGCUUGCUCCGCUGACGAGUGGCGAACGGGUGAGUAAUGCGUCGGAACGUGCCGAGUAGCGGGGGAUAACGCAUCGAAAGGUGUGCUAAUACCGCAUACGUACUGAGAUAGAAAGUGGGGGACCUUCUGGCCUCACGCUAUUCGAGCGGCCGACGUCUGAUUAGCUAGUUGGUGAGGUAAAGGCUCACCAAGGCGACGAUCAGUAGCGGGUCUGAGAGGAUGAUCCGCCACACUGGGACUGAGACACGGCCCAGACUCCUACGGGAGGCAGCAGUGGGGAAUUUUGGACAAUGGGCGCAAGCCUGAUCCAGCCAUGCCGCGUGUCUGAAGAAGGCCUUCGGGUUGUAAAGGACUUUUGUCCGGGAGCAAAUGCUGGUGGCUAACAUCCACCGGAGCUGAGAGUACCGGAAGAAUAAGCACCGGCUAACUACGUGCCAGCCGCCGCAGUAAGAC